UCUAUUGCUUGUUUAUGGACCUUUAACCUUUUUGUUGUCACCUUCUAGUUUAGCACAAUUUUGAAAACUAAGAUUUAUUUAUAAUAGUCAAAGGAGAAAGGGAAAAAACAUUGGGAUUUUUUUUACUGAACACAUUCUGGAAGAAACCAACAGAGUUUUGUGAAAAGGGAAAGUUCAAGAGCUUCGUCUCGUUGGGCAACUUCGAUUUUCCUUUCGAUUUUCCCCUUUCUGAUUAAGCUAGCUGAAUAUAUUUGCCCUGUUAGAAAGAGAAAACCGACUGUUUGGUUCUGGGAGAGUAUCUAAUGUUCCCCUUUUUUGUACUGUUUUCAAUGAAUGAAGUACUUUCCAUUCAACUUUGACUCAA